GAUGAACGCUGGCGGCGUGCCUAAUACAUGCCAGUCGAGCGAACAGACGAGGAGCUUGCUCCUCUGACGUUAGCGGCGGACGGGUGAGUAACACGUGGAUAACCUACCUAUAAGACUGGGAUAACUUCGGGAAACCGGAGCUAAUACCGGAUAAUAUAUUGAACCGCAUGGUUCAAUAGUGAAAGACGGUUUUGCUGUCACUUAUAGAUGGAUCCGCGCCGCAUUAGCUAGUUGGUAAGGUAACGGCUUGCCAAGGCAACGAUGCGUAGCCGACCUGAGAGGGUGAUCGGCCACACUGGAACUGAGACACGGUCCAGACUCCUACGGGAGGCAGCAGUAGGGAAUCUUCCGCAAUGGGCGAAAGCCUGACGGAGCAACGCCGCGUGAGUGAGGAAGGUCUUCGGAUCGUAAAACUCUGUUAUUAGGGAAGAACAAAUGUGUAAGUAACUAUGCACGUCUGGACGGUACCUAAGCAGAAAGCCACGGCUAACUACGG
rnacentral:rRNA from 1 species